UGGGGAAUAUUGCACAAUGGGCGCAAGCCUGAUGCAGCGACGCCGCGUGGGGGACGACGGCCUUCGGGUUGUAAACUCCUUUCGCUAGGGACGAAGCUUUUUGUGACGGUACCUAGAUAAGAAGCACCGGCUAACUACGUGCCAGCAGCCGCGGUAAUACGUAGGGUGCGAGCGUUGUCCGGAAUUACUGGGCGUAAAGGGCUCGUAGGUGGUUUGUCGCGUCGUCUGUGAAAUUCCGGGGCUUAACUCCGGGCGUGCAGGCGAUACGGGCAUAACUUGAGUACUGUAGGGGUAACUGGAAUUCCUGGUGUAGCGGUGAAAUGCGCAGAUAUCAGGAGGAACACCGAUGGCGAAGGCAGGUUACUGGGCAGUUACUGACGCUGAGGAGCGAAAGCAUGGGUAGCGAACAGG
rnacentral:rRNA from 1 species